rnacentral:rRNA from 1 species
UACGAAGGGGGCUAGCGUUGCUCGGAAUCACUGGGCGUAAAGCGCACGUAGGCGGCUUUCUAAGUCAGGGGUGAAAUCCUGGAGCUCAACUCCAGAACUGCCUUUGAUACUGGAGAGCUCGAGUCCGGAAGAGGUGAGUGGAACUCCGAGUGUAGAGGUGAAAUUCGUAGAUAUUCGGAAGAACACCAGUGGCGAAGGCGGCUCACUGGUCCGGUACUGACGCUGAUGCGCGAAAGCCAGGGGAGCGAACGGG